UUUUGCUUGGUAUAUUUUGACCUGCCAAGAACUAGCCCACCUUAAAAAGAUCAAGGAUUUGGCAGGAUUUUUUCCUGAAACCAAUCUUAAAAGAUGAUUUUUUUCCCCCAUUUGUUUCAAGAUAAGCGGACCCACUUUUUGGCAGCAGUACCUGGUUUUAACCAGCAUUCACAUCUUUUCAUGCUGACAUUGAAGAUAGCUACAUGAUUUCAUCAAUGAAUUUCAUCUAUUCCAAAAUGAGGAGAGUGUUUGCAUGACCUCUCAUUAUCUAAAGAGAUCUAAAAAGAUAAACCCGCCUUUAUCUGACUCUCCUUGGCUUUGUGUAGUCAGGCUUCUGAAUUUACCACAAUAAUAGAAGGGGCUUUCACUUCUCUUUGGCUGUGUACGCCUAUGGGAGCUGUGUUAAGAUAUUCCAAUGGCGUUUAUUAAAAUCGAAUACAAUAGUCGGCAUUUGGUAUUGAACCUCAAGAAAUGGAAGAAGCAAGGUAUAGUGCUGUGUCAUGCUCAUCUGCAAGGCGAUCACCUUGAGGAGAGUGACACACAUCUCAAGGCAUCACAAAGAAACCCAACUUAGUAAAUAAAUUCGCUGAAGCGUAAGGUCAUCGUAACUUUGGAGUUUAAGGAUGCUGUAAACAUCAGCAAACCACAGGGUAUAAAAAUCUCUUAAUUUUUGAAGAUACACUUUCAGUCGUACUUUAACUAGGGAAUAGGAAGGAGAGUAUAACCAGCCACAUGAAAAAUGAAACUGAGCUGGAAGGGUCUUGCUUAGUUUCUACUCUAUAGAAACUGCAGUGAGCCCAUAAUAAAUACAUUUAGAUGCUGAGAUGGCUCCCCGGAAGAGAAGCCUCUGUGAAGAUUUUUCAGAACUCUGAUUCAUUCCCCAGGAUUUGCAGUCGUGUUAUUGAUUCAUUACUUUCAGUUCAUUUGAAGCAUUAUUCAUCUAUGACUUUGGCUUGUGGUUUGAGUUCUACUGAGAAUAAAAUCAGCAGAACAUUUUAUUCCCCUUGAACUCCAGUUUUUUUCUAAGGAUGUCUGUGGUAGCGCUAACAGAACCUGGAGGUUUUUUGUCAUGAGUAAGGCUAGAUUGUGUGUAUUGAAAUCUGAUCCACUCAUCAUUGAAAGUCUGGGUUAUCAUAGGAGAAGGUGUAGGCUGUUUAAGUAACUAUGUAAGCGGAUCUGAGGUUUCUUAUAAAUAUUACUCUUUGAAGAGAUUAAUAUCUUAGGCUUAUACUUUAGAAAAUGUCACAUUUCUAGAGUAAAUCAACCCAAGACCUCCCAAAGAGAAAAACUUUAACAUUACCUCUAAUGGCAGAUUGAUGAACACAAGAGCUAGCUCGCGUCAUCUUAGAUUUUCAGUCCUGUGUCUGCCCUUACCUGAUCUGUGCCCUUGAGAAGUUCACUGAAUCCCAGACUCAAGCAUUAUAGAAAGCGCUUUUGAGAUUUCCAAUCCCAUAACUCCUAAGGAGAAAGAAAGGUGGCAACCUUUUACAAACGAAGUGUCAAACUUCUAACCUCUGAUCUCCUGGUAUUUUCAAGGGAUAUUUGAGGUCACUUUGUGUUGACUCCUGUGAGCCGGGGUGAGAGCGGAAGUACAGGAAUGAUACAAAGAUGAAUAGCAAGUCCCGAAGGGUCAGAGGGAAUGUGUUAUUGAUAAAUUCAGCUAUCUUUAUUGAGUAUCUUCAAGUGCAGGGAUCACUGCCCGGUAUUAGAAGAGGUGUAAAGAGAAUUGAGACAUAGUCCUCUGUCUUAGAAAGGCUCAUAGGAUAGAAGGAAAGUAAGAAUUGAUUAAAUAAAAAGCCUGAGAAAAAUAACUGCCGGCAAGGCAUGGGGUGAUUAUUACUAUUGGAAAGGUUUAAAAGAGGUGUUAUUAGGGUUUACUCAGGAUGAUUAUAUGAGCUUGGAGAGGAAGGUUCCAGAAAAGAAAAGCCUUCAUUAAAAGAUGACACUUGACUUGAACUUUAAUGGAUGGAGAGGUGUUUGCUUGACGAAAAUGAAGGGAAAGUAGCUUUGGGUAAAGAAAGUCAGAGACACUAUGCUUGGAGAUAAGAAAAUGUUGCCAUUUGAAAUAAAUCUGAACAAGGCAAUGGGAGUUGGCAAGAUGACUCAGUUGGUAAAGGGUUUGCCGUACUGAAAUGAGGACCUGAGCUUGGACUUCCAGGAUCCAUGGAAAAACCUGGGCAUGGUGGUGCUUGCCUAUGAUCAUAGAGUGCUCUUCCCCCACAUAAGGUGGGGAAUAAUUGAAGAAGACUCCCAACAGGGACCUUUAGCCUCCACACAUAUGUAUUGCACAGACAGACAGACAGACAGACAGACAGACACACACACACACACACACACACAUGUGCACAUGGGUGGGGGUAGGUGGUGCAGGCAAUGGACUUAUGACUUAACAGCCACUAAGUUUUGGCAGUCCAGACAGGUUACAUGGCUGGGCAUCUGGCUCACCUAGCAUGCUGGCCCUCUGAGACACACUUUUCUUCACUUUGCCAAUAUGAUGCAUUUUAAGGAGAACAAGGGUCAUUGCAACCUGUCUAGUCUUGCACUGACCCAGUGUGGUUGCAUGGCCCUUAUCUGUGUAGUACAAUGCUUUCAAAUUGCGUUAGGGAAAUGCUGAAUAUCUUUACCAUUUCAUGGCAGCAAGCACUCAUACUGGCAUUACUGAAAAACCCUUCUGACUUCUACAUGCAGAAAACUACUCUGUUUAGCAUACACUCUGGACAUGAGAAUGGCCUGGUCCUUAAAUCAGAGGAAAUGGGACCAUCUCCAAAGCAGACUAAAUAAGUGGAGAGCAUCACCUAUUUUUAUUUUCCUGGUGCCUAUUACUUUUGCAACCCCUUUGGACUUAACUGUCCAUUAAAUAUCUUUUCUGGAGUUAUUUUUUUUACUUUAUUUUGCUCUUGUUUUCAUUACAGAAUUCUCUGCCAGCUGCCUGUGUUAUCAGAGCCCACAUAAAGGCAUGUGAGGAAUAAGCGGCUCUUAUGCAAUUUCCCUGUCCUUGUCAAUUGCAGGCAUAACUCUCAUGAAUUAUUUAGAUUCGUAUUGUCCUGGAGUGAGCCCUGUAGUGCUUCAAGUAGUCACAAGGAAGGCUCUCGAAGUUUACCUCAGGGAAUCAGACUUGUGGUGAGGGAAGUGAGGUGCUGGGCACAGUUUGAAGCCUGCGAUAAAGACUGGGCCAGAGUCCUCAAAUGAGGUUCUCAGUACAUUUGUGCUUGCGGGGUCAAUGUUAUCAUUUGUGUCCAAUGGUAGCUAACUUCAAAGUCAUUUUUUUAAGGUAAGGAAGAGGGAGAUUUGGGAGCAAAAAUGCAACCACAUGUAACAACCAUGUGUAGCAACCACGUCACUACCCUAACAGGAGGCAUUUAAUGGGGGCUUCUGUGUCAAGGACUAUAUAACCUCAGGGAAAAUCCCACAAAAUGGUUAUUGUUUUCAUUUUUUUUUUCAGAUGAGGAAACUGAAACACAUGGAUGUUAAAUUGUCCCUUAACGUGGUGGAGUGUGACAGGCAGACGCUUCCUCCCACGUGCCGCUUUGCCUUCACAGCAGGAAUGGCAGGCCCAGAGUAGGUGUAAUGGGGAGCUUGUGUGUGACAGAUGCUGUAGAAUUCAACCAGGUCUCAACUGUGAAAACAAAACAUCUCAAAACCUCUUGUUUUUAGAGAGAGCUGGAGACUCUCAUUCCCCUAGCUCCCCAGAGUCCUGAAGACGCUCUGCUGGGUUCUUCUCCGGCUCUUGUCAUCAGUAGAUGGAAGGCAGAGCAUCUAAGACCACACUUUCUCCUUGUGGUAGCUGGAGCCUAGGUCCAUGUCUAUGGGAGAGAGCAUCCCGCAGGGUUGUGCCCUUUGCCUUUCCGUUGGACAGUCAUCUCAGUUUCAGACUCUGACCACAUGUCUGUCCUUCUCUGUUCUGCAGGCAUGGAGACCAAAGCUUUUCCUGUCGUCUUUGGCAUACCAUUUCAUUAUACAGACGCCAGACUAAGACUGGUGAUGUGGUGGAGAGAGCCUUUCAGGAGGUUUACUUUCUCUUCUGGCUUUGACAUUUCCUUUCCUGUUGUAAAACCUAGAGUGUAUUACACCAUCUUACAGUCUCUGCUUUAGUAUAUGUCCAAUGGGAAUGGUGGACCCAUGUGGCCGCUGGGAUCAGCUAAGAUGAAAUGUGUGAAACACAUUGUGUGGUACUUAGUUGGUGGCUGGUUCCCAAAUUUAUAAUAGACAAAUCUCCUAUAUUGCUUCUCUUGUAUUAAUGCAUAUGAGUGAGUCUGGAGGGAAGGAGCAAAAGAGAGAAAGGGAGGGAUGGAGGGAAGAAGAGAGGAAGGGAGAGAGAGAGAGAGAGAGAGAGAGAUGUUGAUUCCAAUCUAGGCUCUUGACUUUCAUGCCCAUUGACUGAAACCUCAGAGACAUAUUUUACUUCACUGCUUGACACAUAUGCACAGACGCUUACAAUCCAAAUACAGAUUUUUGUGAACAAAUAGAGGCUUUAACUACGUGCAAUAUGCUGUGCUCUUUACCACUCUGUCUAGUUCCUCCCGUUCCCUAUGGAGUGGAGAAACCAAACCCCAUAUCCCCAGAGGCUUCUUCUCCCCUACCCCUAGCUUAGUAGAGAGCUGGCUCAGGAAGUCUAAGCCGUCCCAUGGAAGAAGGGACUCUCUCUGUCAUUUCCUCAAGCAGGCACUCCCUGUACCUCUGUGUUGUAGAGAGCCAUGGGGCUGAGUCUCUUGAUGUGGAUGCCCAGUCAAGUCAGCUCAGUGGAUGCUGCAAGCUCAGGAGGAAGCUCUUGUAUACACUGUUCCUGGUCUUCUCCUUUUUUUCCAAGACAAGGUUUCUCUGUGUAGCUUUGGAGCCUAUCCUGGAACUCACUCUGUAGACCAGGCUGGCCUCGAACUCACAGAGAUCUGCCUGCCUCUGCCUCCCGAGUGCUGGGAUUAAAGGCAUGCACCACCACCGCCUGGUCUUCUUAUAGGUCUUCUAUGAGCAUUUGUUUGAGACAAGACCUCUUUGUAGCCCAGGCUGCUCUUGAACUUUUGAUCUUCGGCUUCCAUCUCCGGGGUGCUGGGAUUGUAGGCAUGUGCUCUUACAUCUGGCUUAUGUAGUGUGAGGAUUCAACAUGGGUUUUACUUGUUUAAAAACAAGCCUGUUAGAUCUAGCUGGCUUUGCCUUCCUGGACGCAGAGUGACUGGAGGACCACGGGCUCCUGUUUGGACCUCAGUUCUCUGGUGAGGAAGAGCUGUUCUUUCUUCACAUUGUUCAUUCUUCAAAGGGAGGCUGGUCAAUUCAACCUGGAGCAAAAGAAGCCUAAUUUUCAUUUGUGGUCCAGGCCACAGAAGGCUUUGUUCAACUUCAUGUGGGUUCAAGACUUUGCUUCAUAAGUUCCUGCGGUCUUGACCUCUUAUCUGGGGCAGGCAUGAAGAACAAAGCCACCCAGAGGGGUGGGGAGGUGCUUCUCUCUCUGGUGCGUCUGCUAAGUGGUUAACUGCAGGUCAUGAGAACAGGUGAUGGUUGGAACGAUGAAGAAAGCCUACUCUACCAAGCACUAUGGAGUUCGACUGCUAAGUUACUGAAGACCAGUGCAAGUGCAAUGGUGGACAACCAUUUGGAGAGGUUGGUGCUGAUGACCUUGCCUGGACACCCUGUACCCAGACACAACUGAAGAGUCAUUGCAUCAGACCUCACAGUUGGUGUGGCUCUUAUCCUGAAAACCAAAGAUGACAAACACUGGCUAAGAUACGGGGAAAGAAGAACCCUUCACACUGCUGGAAGAUAAGGCCUACUCGCUGAGAGAUGAACCAACCUGGAUUCUGCCUGAGGGCCUAGAAACAGGCACUGUCAGAGGUCCUGAUCGUGCCUAGGCAAUGAAGGGCGACCACUCAGUGUCACUGGAUAGGGAUGCAGCCUGGGUGCUGGGAGGAGGGUAUGUAAGGCUCUUCCCAUUGCUGAAUAAAUGAAUCUGCUGUUUACCUUUU